rnacentral:tRNA from 1 species
GGGGGUGUAGCUCAGUGGUAGAGUGCUUGCCUAGCAAGUAUAAGGCUGUGCUUUUCAUCCCUA